rnacentral:rRNA from 1 species
GACGAACGCUGGCGGCGCGCCUAACACAUGCAAGUCGAACGGAGUUACUCUGAAUGAAGUUUUCGGAUGGAUUUUGGAUUAACUUAGUGGCGAACGGGUGAGUAACGCGUGAGUAACCUGCCUUCAAGAGGGGAAUAACGUUCUGAAAAGAACGCUAAUACCGCAUAACAUACGGAUGUCGCAUGGCAACCGUAUCAAAGAUUUUAUCGCUUGAAGAUGGACUCGCGUCCGAUUAGCCAGUUGGCGGGUAACGGCCCACCAAAGCGACGAUCGGUAGCCGGACUGAGAGGUUGAACGGCCACAUUGGGACUGAGACACGGCCCAGACUCCUACGGGAGGCAGCAGGUGGGGGAUAUUGCGCAAUGGGGGCAACCCUGACGCAGCAACGCCGCGUGAACGAU